rnacentral:rRNA from 1 species
UACGAAGGGUGCAAACGUUGCUCGGAAUUAUUGGGCGUAAAGCGCACGUAGGCGGCUUAGCAAGUCGGAAGUGAAAGCCCUCGGCUCAACCAAGGAAGUGCUUUCGAAACUGCUGAGCUUGAGUACUUAAGAGGAUCGCGGAAUUCCCGGUGUAGAGGUGAAAUUCGUAGAUAUCGGGAGGAACACCAGUGGCGAAGGCGGCUCACUGGUCCGGUACUGACGCUGAGGUGCGAAAGCGUGGGGAGCAAACAGG